ACCUGGGUGGCUCAGUCGGUUGAGCGCCUGACUUUGGCUCAGGUCAUGAUCUCGCAGUCUGUGAGAUCGAGCCCCACAUCAGGCU
rnacentral:tRNA from 1 species